rnacentral:tRNA from 1 species
UCCCUGGUGGCUCAGAUGGUAAAGCAUCUGCCUGCAAUGCGGGAGACCUGGGUUCAAUCCCUGGGUCGGGAA